CCUACGGGAGGCAGCAGUAAGGAAUAUUGGUCAAUGGACGCAAGUCUGAACCAGCCAUGCCGCGUGCAGGAUGACGGCCCUCUGGGUUGUAAACUGCUUUUAUAGGGGACGAAAAAAGGGCUUUCUAGCUCGUCUGACGGUACCCUAGGAAUAAGCACCGGCUAACUCCGUGCCAGCAGCCGCGGUAAUACGGAGGGUGCAAGCGUUAUCCGGAUUUACUGGGUUUAAAGGGUGCGUAGGUGGGUCGGUAAGUCAGCGGUGAAAUCUUCGAGCUUAACUCGGAAACUGCCAUUGAUACUAUCGAUCUUGAAUCAUCUGGAGGUAAGCGGAAUAUGUCAUGUAGCGGUGAAAUGCUUAGAUAUGACAUAGAACACCAAUUGCGAAGGCAGCUUACUACGGAUGCAUUGACACUGAGGCACGAAAGCGUGGGGAUCAAACAGGAUUAGAUACCCUGGUAGUCCACGCCCUAAACCGAUGGAUACUCGACAUUUGAGAUAUACUUUAAGUGUCUGAGCGAAAGCAUUAAGUAUCCCACCUGGGAAGUACGAUCGCAGAUUGAAACUCAAAUGAGUAGAGNGNGAGAGNGCGAGGCGACGACGAGGGAGAGG
rnacentral:rRNA from 1 species